rnacentral:piRNA from 1 species
UGAUAUGAAUGACCACACUGACUGUC